AGGCUCACUGACUUGGUUGAUGCAUGUCAACGUAUCCCAAUGGCAAACACCGGUACACUAAUCCGCCAGGUGGCGCGUCGGAAUUUCCGUCCCGGAAGUGUUGCUAAUGUAAACAUGUCGCACUACAGCGGUUUGACAGUUGAGAAGCUGAAGACAGAGUUGCGAUGCAGUGGAGCAACUACACGCGGGAAGAAGAUCGAUUUGAUUGAAAGAUUACAGAUGACCAGGCUGCAGACUUAGAGUCAAAGACAAGAAAGCAGGCCAAGUGUAGCUUGUGGCAUGAAGAGAGGAGAUGGAGGUUGACAGCAUCUCAGUUUGGGACAAUUUGCAAAUGUACUACAAGGAGAAACAAAACUAAAUUAUGUGAACAAAUUGUCUCUGGAAGAAAACUAGUUUGUAACUCUGUGAGGCAUGGGUUACAGCAGGAACCCAAAGCUAUUGCCAAACUUGAGAUAGCCUGUAAUGUUCAUGUUCACAGUUGUGGAAUGUUUGUUGACUCUGAACUCCCUUUCCUUGCAGCAACCCCAGACGGUGUCAUUGAUUCUAACACCAUUGUUGAGGUUAAAUGUCCUUACAGUGCUAGAAAUGAGGUCAUUGCUCCUGGGAAACUCUUUCCUUAUCUUUGUGAGAGAAAUGGCCUCAUGCAACUGAAAGAAAACUGUCAUUACUACUUUCAGGUGCAGGGUCAGAUGUAUCUAUCAAAGCGAAAAUACUGCUUAUUUGCUGUUUGUACGUUCAAAGACUUCUUUGUUCAGAAAAUAUCACUCGAUGAGGAAUACUGUACAGGAAGUUUGAUUCCCAGACUCUCAUUAUUCUUUGAGUCUUUCAUUGCUACUCACUACAUUUGUUAAGAUUCACGAACAGACAUCCUUUUGUGGAUUAAUACAUCCAUGUGAAGACUGUGUAUCUAAAAAGUACUAAGAGUCUUAUCCAACUUACUUUUGCCUCGCUUUUCAAAAAUUAUUUGACAUCAGUGACUUUUCACAGUUAAGGAAUAAAAGUUUGUUCUUUUCAACUAUUGAAAUCUGGUGAUGAGAAUGAUACAAAUGAGUACCGGUAGGUAUAUCCCUGAUUGACACCAUGUGUAAAGUACUUACUUCUAUUCUUAGCUGUAGGCCUAAUGGAAAAACUGUAGGCCCAAACAUGUUAUCUGAAGCAGUGAGAUAUACUCAUAUACGCAUAUACGCAAUAUAAAAUUACAAAAUACAACCAGUCAUCCAGAAGCUAUUACUGCUAUCACACCGAGUUCCCAGAGACUCAGUGGUGACAGAUGGUGAUACAUUUAUCAAGGAAAUUAUCAGCUUGUAAAACAUCUUUGAACAAAUCUGUCAUCUAUGGGUAUACUGACCGAUGUAUAUUUCGAACACUGACCUUGGGAAUGUGGUGGAGCUCCUUUGCAAUGAAAUUACAUGACUGAAUGUCUGUCUGACAACCGUGUGAUGGUGUUGUACUAUUGCAUUCAUUGUUAAAGUGGUAAGAGAGAGAGAUCCUAAGCACAGAUCAACAAACAAAUGUGAGACAUUCAAUGGUAUUUUUUCAUUAUGUAAUAUCAUGGGUACAGUGUUAUGUACAUAUAUUCAUCAUUUCAAUUGUUAAAACACAAUAAAGUUGUUAUAUUUGAACAUUU
rnacentral:lncRNA from 1 species